rnacentral:tRNA from 1 species
GGGGUUGUGGCUCAAUGGUAGAGCACUCACCUAGCACAUGCGAGGCCCUGGGUUCAAUCCUCAGCCCCA